ensembl:lncRNA
CCCCACACCUCGAACCUGUCUCCCUGGCCUCAGAGAGAGCCGCCAGUCCAUCAGCUCCGUUGCCUGGGCCACGGGGAGCCAAGGGGCUUCAGGCAGCUCUGGUGACCCCUGCCCUCAGGAGGGGCAGGCAGCCACCCUUGCGCAGGACGCCUGCACCUCGUCUUGGAGGCCACAUCUUAACCAGGCGCAGAUGCACUGGGCUGAGGCGGAUCCCAGUGUGUGUUCCCUGGAGCCUGGGAGGAACCUGGAGUCGGGCGCUGAGGCUGGAGCUGGAAUCAGAGAUGGCGCUGUCUCGGGGCCAUGCCCCCUCUGGAGGCUGACGGGGCUGCAGCAGAGAUCCAGGCUUGCCCAGCUCCUGGGGCACCAGGUGUCCCUGACCCGAGGCCAUGUCACUCCAGCCUCUGCCCCCAUCUUCAUG